rnacentral:rRNA from 1 species
GGAUGCGAUCAUACCAGCACUAAAGCACCGGAUCCCAUCAGAACUCCGAAGUUAAGCGUGCUUGGGCGAGAGUAGUACUAGGAUGGGAGACCUCCUGGGAAGUUCUCGUGUUGCAUUCC